rnacentral:rRNA from 1 species
AGUGAACGCUGGCGGUAGGCCUAACACAUGCAAGUCGAACGGCAGCACAGAGGAGCUUGCUCCUUGGGUGGCGAGUGGCGGACGGGUGAGGAAUACAUCGGAAUCUACUCUGUCGUGGGGGAUAACGUAGGGAAACUUACGCUAAUACCGCAUACGACCUACGGGUGAAAGCAGGGGAUCUUCGGACCUUGCGCGAUUGAAUGAGCCGAUGUCGGAUUAGCUAGUUGGCGGGGUAAAGGCCCACCAAGGCGACGAUCCGUAGCUGGUCUGAGAGGAUGAUCAGCCACACGGGAACUGAGACACGGUCCAGACUCCUACGGGAGGCAGCAGUGGGGAAUAUUGGACAAUGGGCGCAAGCCUGAUCCAGCCAUACCGCGUGGGUGAAGAAGGCCUUCGGGUUGAAAAGCCCUUUUGUUGGGAAAGAAGUCCAUCUGGUUAAUACCCGGGUGGGAUGACGGUACCCAAAGAAUAAGCACCGGCUAACUUCGUGCCAGCCGCCGCCGUAA